GAGAGGUAACGGCUCACCAAGGCAUCGACGGGUAGCUGGUCUGAGAGGAUGAUCAGCCACACUGGAACUGAGACACGGUCCAGACUCCUACGGGAGGCAGCAGUGGGGAAUCUUGCACAAUGGGCGAAAGCCUGAUGCAGCGAUGCCGCGUGCGGGAAGAAGGCCUUAGGGUUGUAAACCGCUUUCAGGAGGGAAGAAAAUGACGGUACCUCCAGAAGAAGGUGCGGCCAACUACGUGCCAGCAGCCGCGGUGACACGUAGGCACCAAGCGUUAUCCGGAUUUAUUGGGCGUAAAGAGCUCGUAGGCGGUUUGGUAAGUCGGGUGUGAAAACUCUGGGCUCAACCCAGAGAGGCCACUCGAUACUGCUAUGACUAGAGUACGGUAGGGGAGCGGGGAAUUCCUGGUGUAGCGGUGGAAUGCGCAGAUAUCAGGAGGAACACCAAUGGCGAAGGCAGUGCUCUGGGCCGGUACUGACGCUGAGGAGCGAAAGCAUGGGGAGCAAACAGGAUUAGAUACCCUGGUAGUCCAUGCCGUAAACGUUGGGCACUAGGUGUGGGGUCUUCUAACGGAUUCCGUGCCGUAGCUAACGCAUUAAGUG
rnacentral:rRNA from 1 species